ACGCUCACUUUGGCAGCAUGUAUACUAAAGCUGAAACAAUACAGAGAAGAUUAGCAUGGCCCCUGUACAAGGAUGACAUGCAAAUUUGUGAAGUGUUUCAUAUUUUU
ensembl:snRNA U6 U6 spliceosomal RNA